AUGGAUCCUACUACGUGCUCAACCCCGCGACGGCACGCCCUGGCUUUCGACCCUGCCGUGUCGCUACACUACCAUGUGUUCCUCUUUCCGGAGGGUGGCCUGCUCAAGGAGCCAUUAUCAGCCACUAAGACGCAAGGCGAGGUUCCGCCGCUCGGGGAAGCACAAGCGAAGAAGGUCGAGAAGCCCAAGAAAAAUGCGUGGCCAAUGUUAAUGUACUCAUCAUGCACAGGGCGAUGGGAGGACCGAGAGUUCACGCCUGGGCGUUGUUCCCCGGGGCACCUCUACGAUAUGAUUGGCAGAACUCCUGAGAGCUACGGGGGUACAUUUGAUUCAUCUAAUUACUGGUGUGGGUCUGUCUACAUGCAUUGCGACAACAAUAAUGUCCUCGUGAUCCUACGCCCCUCGAAGGGGACUUAUGAUAUGGUCCAACUUCCCGGGGAACCCUGCGGUGCAAGAAGCGGGCUCUCGCUGCCCCAAAAAUCGGUCAUAGCAAGUUAUGAGAGAGGGGUACAUUAUGUGGCGACUAACAAUUCGCAGCUUCGAGUUUGGAUGCUAAAUGAAUUGACUGAUGGACGGCUAGGUUGGACACUGUCACACGAUGCCAGCCUCAAUCUGCAUGGCCAUAUGAUUCACACUCUUAAAAUACAACCCAAGGUGACAUGGAGGAUUGUUGGAAGCAGUGGUGGACCAGUCAGCUUGACCGACGAUGACGCCGAGGACGACUGGGCCACAUCAUAUGACUCUGAGCAUUCCUGGAACUCGGAUGAGGACAACUUCAUCGACAUGGUUGGAGGCGCCAACCACGACCAGUCGGUAGAACGGGGUGCCUAUUGCAGUAUCAUGGGAUUCCAUCCGCACAAGAAUGCACUCAUCCUCAUGCUUAACGGCGCGGUGGUAGUGUACCAUCUCGACACAUCAAGGAUGCAGUAUCUAGGAGAUGCGGAUGAGCUCGAUAAACACCACACGCAAGCAGCUUGUUGUGUCGAUGAUUCAUUCAUUUACCGACCUUGCUAUAAGGAUAUGCUCCCAACAAGGAAAUUAUCCAUGCCACCUUAA
rnacentral:rRNA from 1 species